CUGCUUUGGUGAUGCUCGUUAUCUGUAGGUGCAACGGCAGAUUGAUCCUGCGAUGCAGCAUAUGGUCAGGCAUGCGGUGCCUCCUUCCAUCCGAGAGCCGAUGGCUCUGGCAUGCAGGCUCCAUCUUGUCAUACACCAUUUAAUUCUAGAGAAAACAGGGGAACAUACUCGUUCUCUCAGCCCUCGUCCCCUCCGUGUUGAUCUGAGCCACUCUGACUCAGUUCGCAUCCCACUAAGAUAGGUUAGACCCUCACAUGGCAACACUAAGAUAGACAGAGCUGAGAGGCUCUUAGGAGUUCAAGUAGCUAGCCGGGGAGCCACCCCGGCAACCUGUAAACACCCUUAAAUCAAUGGAAUCCACGCACAAAAGUAGGACGUAGGGUAUUACACCUCCGGAUGGCCCGAACCUGGGUAAACUCCUCAGCGUCACACUUCGUGUCUUCGCCACGUCGGCAAUCACUCGAGAGCUGCUACGACAACGCGCGCUAAGGCGGUUCAGCCGUGAUUAUGGGGGAUGAUUGAGGAGGGGAAAAGGAAGAGAAGGACCGAGGGAUACGGUUCAGAGCACCUGGACGGGUCACGGGCCGAGGAGGCAUCGUCGAGGGCGGAGAUUGCGGCGGCCGGCGCGUGUGUCUGCUGCUUUUGGCACAAAAAGGAAGACGGGAACGGACGCUCGUCCGGACAUGAGCGGGGCGUUCUCGGAGAAGCUGACCCAAGAGGAAGAACGGGUGUGGUCUAAGAGAAAAAAAAGAGAGAAAAAAAAAACCUAAAAGUGGAUUGCCUGGACCGUGACGCACGGACAUUCUGCUAUAUACUACAAAAGUAACACAUGUGUCUAGGCGCCACUGGCAGGUUGAAGGGCACUAAGUCUGAGGGUUUACGCUUGAAUCACAAUGUGCAAGCGCGGUCCAGUGGGAUAGUGAUGACGUUUGUUACAAAAAAUGGAUAUAAAUUGCUAGCAAGUGCACCAAUACAUAGAAGCAGUCCUUUUUUUUUCUAAAAACAGAGAAACGAAAAGGGAAUAGGAACGAGCGGCCUCCCCGCCGUGUUCACGGUUCUUGGUCUUCUCAUGAUGGGCCUACUGAACAAAAAUACCCGCGGGCUGCUACUUUGCGCCGUUUGUAAUUGGGCCGGGCUCCUCCUUGAACUCCUGCGUCUCCUCCUAUCUCAUAUUCCCUUUGAGUUACUGAAUAGUCCAUGGGCCAGCUGCCCAUCACGAUAUAGGCUCCCCGUAGGAAAGCAACGGUGCACUUUGCCCACUUAGCCCAUAUCCAGUUUCGUAAGAUACCCUCA
rnacentral:lncRNA from 1 species